GAUGAACGCUGGCGGCGUGCCUAAUACAUGCAAGUCGAGCGAACGGACGAGAAGCUUGCUUCUCUGAUGUUAGCGGCGGACGGGUGAGUAACACGUGGAUAACCUACCUAUAAGACUGGGAUAACUUCGGGAAACCGUAGCUAAUACCGGGUAAUAUUUUGAACCGCAUGGUUCAAAAGUGAAAGACGGUCUUGCUGUCACUUAUAGAUGGAUCCGCGCUGCAUUAGCUAGUUGGUAAGGUAACGGCUUACCAAGGCAACGAUGCAUAGCCGACCUGAGAGGGUGAUCGGCCACACUGGAACUGAGACACGGUCCAGACUGCUACGGGAGGCAGCAGUAGGGAAUCUUCCGCAAUGGGCGAAAGCCUGACGGAGCAACGCCGCGUGAGUGAUGAAGGUCUUCGGAUCGUAAAACUCUGUUAUUAGGGAAGAACAUAUGUGUAAGUAACUGUGCACAUCUUGACGGUACCUAAUCAGAAAGCCACGGCUAACUACGUG
rnacentral:rRNA from 1 species